ensembl:lncRNA
AUGAGGCACCUGCAGGCCCGGCCUCACACCACGCUUACAAUCGCCCUCCGUGUUUGUCUGGCAAUCUCAUUCCACGUGUCCAGCCCCCAGCGCGUGCGGGAUCCGUGUCAGGAGCUCCGGGAGUCCCGGAUGCUGGGAGAGCAGGCAGACGUCCAAGCAGCGACCGAGCAAGGCCAGGCAGGAGGGACCGGGCAGAGGGGCGCUCACAGCUGGACGCCACAGAGGUCGUCCAAGGACAGACUGCAGGACACACACAUGGACACAUGUGCACACGUGUGUGCACACAUACACACACCCACACAGACUCUGGAGCCUUCUGGGCCUUGGCAGACUUCCCGGGGAAGCCCCUGUGCCGUGCGCUUGUCCCCCCGCCCGCGGGCCCGUGUGCCCCCGCCCUGUGCCUGUCUGGUGGUCCUCACGGGGGUCAGUGAGGCAGCGCUGGGCCAGCACACUCGGUUCGCCCUCCUGAGCCCCUUUCUCAGAGGACACUGGACAAGGCCUGGCCGCGUCCCAGGGCCUCUGUCACAGGCCCAGGCCCUCCCCGCCCCACGCCUCCGCCCACUGCAGGCCCCCGUGAGGGGCCGGGCCACACAGCCUCAGCCCCAGUGGGGAGAGCGAGGACACUGGGAGGGACUUUGGGGGACAAGCAGAGCACGGGUCCUGGCGGCACAGGGCUCCCCCACCCCCCACGACCUGGCGGGGCAGGCCAUCCAUCCCACAGCAGGUCCACCUGCGUGUCCUGUCCAGCCCCCAGAUGGAGCCCGGAGGCAGGCGGGAGCCACAGAAGGGUUUUUGGCUGCCUGGGGACAGAUACAGAAAUCAACGUUUAUCACAGCCUGACACAGACCCCAACCUCGGCCGGCCAUGGGGCAGGGCAGAGAGGUGGGUCCCAUCUGUGCCCGGGUGACCAGCCGGGAGGGGCUGGUGUGGACAGGGCUGGGGGCCGUCACGGGACCCCGUGUUUGCAGCGACAUGAAUUGCAGAGAAUCAGCUUGCCGAGGGAGGGAGCUGCCGGGGACUGUCUGGGGAGGGGAAGCCAGGCCUGCCCAGCAGCCCCCAGGCCCCCAAGGACCAGGAGCAGGGUCCCGGCUUUCCCGGAGCUGGAUUUCCAGGGUCUGGUUUCUGGGUCAGCUGGAGCACUCGCCCCUGGGCAGUCUGGCCCCCGGGCAGUCUGCAGCCUGGGGCUGUGGCUCCGGGGCUGGUGAGCGCGCCCGGCACCUUCCCCCCAGGCAGGGCCUGCGGAGCUGGAGCAGGUGCUAGAGCCAGCGGUGGGGGGAGGGGCUUGCACGGUGUUCUCAGCAGGCCAGAGGGGCCGAUGCUAUGAGGCCACCAGGGACAGGCACCCUCAGACCUCAGCGCUGCCUUCCUGGGGCGGGGUGGUUGGGGACGCCUGGGCUGCCCGGCCUCAGGGCCCCUCCCACCACGGGGUCUUUGGGAUCCACCCCAGGCUCUGAGUGAAGCCAUCAUCAGCCAAUGCCAGGCAUGGGGCGCGGGGCCUGCUGUGGGCUCCCCCCAGGCAGGGCUCUUCCCUCUGCCCUGCCUAUGACUGGCGGUGGCCUCGUCAGAGCCCCACCGCUGCCCGAAGCUUCCCCAACUUGCUGUCCCAGGCGUGAGCCCCUGGGAGCUCCCCACGGCUGGGCGUCAUGGUGCAGGAGAAGCCGCAGCCUCCCGCCAUCUCUACCUCAGGGGUCAGCUUCUCCCGGCUGUGCCUGGGGCACCUGGGAGGCGUUGCCCGGCCGGGAGAGAGCUGUGUUUCGGCUUGUGGGGUUGGAGGUUUGCCAUUCGUGGCCAGGUGGUCCCGUGGAUGGUGGAGGGAGGGCCACGACAGGGAAACAGGGGCAGAGCAGCCCCCCCUCCCCCGCACCUUCCCAGGCAGGGCCACCCCUCCCACCCAGUGACCUAAGACUCUGCCCCUCCCCAGGGCUGUGGGCUCCGAUGAGGUCACCACCUGUCUCACAGGGCACCUGCGCUGGGGGCCCAGGGCUGCUCAGAGCAGAGAGGCUGAGCUGCACUACACCGAAGACGGCCUGGGGUUGGCGCCCAGCUCCAGCCCUGCUGCAUGCUGGGUAAAUGCCGUGCAGAGCUGGCCCUGCUCCCGGCGCUGUGCCAGGCGACCCUGAUGUGACUUCGGUGAUGCAGUGGAUGGGUGACACAGGUGACGGGUGACUGUGAAGUGACACAGGUGACGGGUGACUUGAGGUGACACAGGUGAUGGGUGACACAGGUGACAGGUGACUGUGAGGUGACACAGAUGACGGGUGACACAGGUGACAGGUGACUGAUGUGACACAGGUGACAGUGGCCCAGUGCCAUCCUGUCUCCACUUUACCAGGCUUAGAAGAUCCGUAGUGAGUGGGUUCCCUGUGGCCACGGCUCAGAGAGCGUCAGCAGCUCCAGGGUGGGGCCAGUGGAGCAGACCCCUCCUCCCCUCCCUGUAGGUGUGGCCCCUCCCCCAUUGCCCGUGUUCAUUAACAACCAGGGUCUCUGCCCCCUCACCCCCACCCUGGAGCUGGGCCGGCUCCCCCGGCACCUGCCCGAGGCCUGGGCCAGCGGAUGUGCAGCCCGUGCUCCGGCAUGAAUGAGCCGCCAGGCACAGCCCCCAAUUCCCCGAUCCAAUAUGCAGUGCCCCCGGGCUGGUGGGGGCCCCCCAAUUAUCCGGCCCUCAUUUCCCCUUUGCGAGCUUGGCGGCUGCACGGACCUGGACCCCACGCGCUCGCCGGGCAGCUUCUGGGGGGACUUGGCCCCCACGUUUCUCUUCUUCCCUGCCUGGGGAAGCCCCCGGGAGCGGGCAGCCCGAGAGCGUGAACGGCCCAGGUUGCUCUGCGAGGGCGGCCGUGGGCUCCUGCUCCCAAUAAAACCGCUGAAGCGAGGUCA